rnacentral:tRNA from 2 species
GGGGGCGUAGCUCAGCUGGGAGAGCGCCUGAAUGGCAUUCAGGAGGUCAGGAGUUCGAUCCUCCUCGUCUCCACCA